rnacentral:rRNA from 1 species
CCUACGGGAGGCUGCAGUGGGGAAUAUUGGACAAUGGGGGCAACCCUGAUCCAGCCAUGCCGCGUGUGUGAAGAAGGCCCUCGGGUUGUAAAGCACUUUCAGUGAGGAAGAACGCCUGGUGGUUAAUACCCAUCAGGAAAGACAUCACUCACAGAAGAAGCACCGGCUAACUCCGUGCCAGCAGCCGCGGUAAUACGGAGGGUGCGAGCGUUAAUCGGAAUUACUGGGCGUAAAGCGCGCGUAGGUGGCUUGAUAAGCCGGUUGUGAAAGCCCCGGGCUCAACCUGGGAACGGCAUCCGGGACUGUCAAGCUAGAGUGCAGGAGAGGAAGGUAGAAUUCCCGGUGUAGCGGUGAAAUGCGUAGAGAUCGGGAGGAAUACCAGUGGCGAAGGCGGCCUUCUGGACUGACACUGACACUGAGGUGCGAAAGCGUGGGUAGCAAACAGGAUUAGAUACCCCGGUAGUC